GACGAACGCUGGCGGCGUGCUUAACACAUGCAAGUCGAACGGAAAGGCCCUGCUUUUGUGGGGUGCUCGAGUGGCGAACGGGUGAGUAACACGUGAGUAACCUGCCCUUGACUUUGGGAUAACUUCAGGAAACUGGGGCUAAUACAGGAUAGGAGCUCCUGCUGCAUGGUGGGGGUUGGAAAGUUUCGGCGGUUGGGGAUGGACUCGCGGCUUAUCAGCUUGUUGGUGGGGUAGUGGCUUACCAAGGCUUUGACGGGUAGCCGGCCUGGGAGGGUGACCGGCCACAUUGGGACUGAGAUACGGCCCAGACUCCUACGGGAGGCAGCAGUGGGGAAUAUUGCACAAUGGGCGGAAGCCUGAUGCAGCAACGCCGCGUGCGGGAUGACGGCCUUCGGGUUGUAAACCGCUUUCGCCUGUGACGAAGCGUGAGUGACGGUAAUGGGUAAAGAAGCACCAGCUAACUACGUG
rnacentral:rRNA from 1 species